AUGAACGCUGGCGGCGUGCCUAAUACAUGCAAGUAGAACGCUGAAGGAGGAGCUUGCUCUUCUGUAUGAGUUGCGAACGGGUGAGUAACGCGUAGGUAACCUGCCUGGUAGCGGGGGAUAACUAUUUGAAACGAUAGCUCAUACCGCAUGACAACAGUUAUUGCCUGAUAACUGUUUAAAAGGUGCAACUGCUCCACUACCAGAUGGACCUGCGUUGUAUUCGCUAGUUGGUGAGGUAACGGCUCACCAAGGCGACGAUACAUAGCCGAACUGAGAGGUUGAUCGGCCACACUGGGACUGAGACACGGCCCAGACUCCUACGGGAGGCAGCAGUAGGGAAUCGUCGGCAAUGGACGGAAGUCUGACCGAGCAACGCCGCGUGAGGGAAGAAGGUUUUCGGAUCGUAAAGCUCUGUUGUAAGAGAAGAACGAGUGUGAGAGUGGAAAGUUCACACUGUGACGGUAUCUUACCAGAAAGGGACGGCUAACUACGUG
rnacentral:rRNA from 1 species